GUCUAUGGUGUAAUUGGCAGCACGACUGAUUCUGGUUCAGUUAGUCUUGGUUCGAGUCCAGGUAGACCAGCU
rnacentral:tRNA from 1 species